GGCGCUAUAGUGUAGUGGUUAUCACUCGAGAUUUUGAUUCUCGAAACCCAGGUUCGAUACCUGGUAGCGCCU
rnacentral:tRNA from 1 species